rnacentral:rRNA from 1 species
GGAUUUACUGGGCGUAAAGCGCGCGUAGGUGGCCAAUUAAGUCAAAUGUGAAAUCCCCGAGCUUAACUUGGGAAUUGCAUUCGAUACUGGUUGGCUAGAGUAUGGGAUAGGAUGGUAGAAUUCCAGGUGUAGCGGUGAAAUGCGUAGAGAUCUGGAGGAAUACCGAUGGCGAAGGCAGCCAUCUGGCCUAAUACUGACACUGAGGUGCGAAAGCAUGGGGAGCAAACAGGAUUAGAUACCCUGGUAGUCCAUGCCGUAAACGAUGUCUACUAGCCGUUGGGGCCUUUGAGGCUUUAGUGGCGCAGCUAACGCGAUAAGUAGACCGCCUGGGGAGUACGGUCGCAAGACUAAAACUCAAAUGAAUUGACGGGGGCCCGCACAAGCGGUGGAGCAUGUGGUUUAAUUCGAUGCAACGCGAAGAACCUUACCUGGUCUUGACAUAGUAAGAACUUUCCAGAGAUGGAUUGGUGCCUUCGGGAACUUACAUACAGGUGCUGCAUGGCUGUCGUCAGCUCGUGUCGUGAGAUGUUGGGUUAAGUCCCGCAACGAGCGCAACCCUUUUCCUUAUUUGCCAGCGGGUUAAGCCGGGAACUUUAAGGAUACUGCCAGUGACAAACUGGAGGAAGGCGGGGACGACGUCAAGUCAUCAUGGCCCUUACGACCAGGGCUACACACGUGCUACAAUGGUCGGUACAAAGGGUUGCUACCUCGCGAGAGGAUGCUAAUCUCAAAAAGCCGAUCGUAGUCCGGAUUGGAGUCUGCAAC